rnacentral:rRNA from 1 species
AUUGAACGCUGGCGGCGUGCCUAACACAUGCAAGUCGAGCGGUAACAGGUGUAGCAAUACAUGCUGACGAGCGGCGAACGGGUGAGUAAUGCUUUGGAAUCUUCCCAGUAGUGGGGAACAACCAGUCGAAAGAUUGGCUAAUACCGCAUACGUCUGUAAAGGGAAAGCGGGGGACUCGCCUCUUCUUCGGAAGAGAGGCCUCGCGCUAUUGGAUGAGCCAAAGCGGAUUAGCUAGUUGGUGGGGUAAUGGCCUACCAAGGCGACAAUCCGUAGCUGGUCUGAGAGGACGACCAGCCACACCGGAACUGAGACACGGUCCGGACCCCUAC